rnacentral:rRNA from 1 species
UACGUAGGGUGCGAGCGUUGUCCGGAAUUAUUGGGCGUAAAGGGCUCGUAGGCGGUUUGUCGCGUCGGGAGUGAAAACGCCGGGCUUAACUCGGUGCUUGCUUUCGAUACGGGCAGACUAGAGGCAUGCAGGGGAGAACGGAAUUCCUGGUGUAGCGGUGAAAUGCGCAGAUAUCAGGAGGAACACCGGUGGCGAAGGCGGUUCUCUGGGCAUGUCCUGACGCUGAGGAGCGAAAGCUAGGGGAGCAAACGGG